GUUGGAUAAGGACAAGCCAGUCUGUAGAGCUUCAUGAACACCUGCUCGUGAAAUUGCAAUGUUGGGGACUGACAACACCCUGAGAUCUGGUCAUUUACUCCUUUUGCUGCUGGUAGCCAGUUCAAUAUUACUGGGUCUCAGCUAUCUGAAUGAGAUGUAUCAAAGGAUUCAGCUUCAGACAGACAUGGCCAUUGUGGAAAGGCAAACACAACGUGCUGCAUCAGAGAGAUCAGUUAUACGACACAAGGAAGCCCAACUGCAGAUAAAACUAGAAGCCGCAGACCAAGAAAAGAAGAGGAUACAAGAAAUGCACACGUUUCAAUCGCAGCAGCAAAAUGCAAAGUUUCAAAAU